UGUUUUGCGUGACGGCACCGCCGUGGGGUCAGCCCGCUGCUCCGGAGCCGCUCAGCCCCGUCUCUUCCCCGCAGGAGGCUUUAGCAAGGCGGGGGUGUGUUUGUCCCAGCGCGCCCGAGCGCGGCCGGCACCGUCUCCCCCGCACCUGCUCCGUCCCCGCCCGCCCCCGCCGUCGUUGCCGAGAAACUGAGCGCGGCCGCCGCCGGGCGGGCCCCGCCGCCGCGAUCCAGCGCGGGAGGGCGGCGUGCGGGGCUGGCACAGCACCGUAACACCCCGCACACCCGCGGGGGCCCCUCCCGACCGCGCCAUGAAGGGAGAUGAUGGCGGAGGUUUCACGAUUGUAGGCAACAAGAGUUAACUUCAGGAUGCUAAAAAGGAAACAAAGUUCAAGGGUGGAAGCCCAACCAGUUACAGAUUUUGGUCCCGAUGAAUCUUUGUCAGACAACGCAGAUAUUCUAUGGAUUAACAAACCAUGGGUGCACUCUUUACUACGAAUCUGUGCCAUCAUCAGUGUUAUUUCUGUUUGUAUGAACACUCCAAAGACCUUCGAGCAUUAUCCGCCUCUCCAGUAUGUGACAUUUGCUCUUGAUACUUUGUUGAUGUUUCUUUACACUGCAGAGAUGAUAGCAAAAAUGCACAUCCGUGGGAUAGUUAAGGUAAGCAUUUUAACAGUACUCUAUGUGUGCUUCAAGUGAUCUGAGUGUAUGUUAAUGACAUUUGGUAUUUGUUUUUUAACUUACCAGCUCUUCUUGCUAUGAUUGUUUUUAA